UAGGGAAUCUUCGGCAAUGGACGGAAGUCUGACCGAGCAACGCCGCGUGAGUGAAGAAGUUUUUCGGAUCGUAAAGCUCUGUUGUAAGAGAAGAACGAGUGUGAGAGUGGAAAGUUCACACUGUGACGGUAUCUUACCAGAAAGGGACGGCUAACUACGUGCCAGCAGCCGCGGUAAUACGUAGGUCCCGAGCGUUGUCCGGAUUUAUUGGGCGUAAAGCGAGCACAGGCGGUUAGAUAAGUCUGAAGUUAAAGGCUGUGGCUUAACCAUAGUAGGCUUUGGAAACUGUUUAACUUGAGUGCAAGAGGGGAGAGUGGAAUUCCAUGUGUAGCGGUGAAAUGCGUAGAUAUAUGGAGGAACACCGGUGGCGAAAGCGGCUCUCUGGCUUGUAACUGACGCUGAGGCUCGAAAGCGUGGGGAGCAAACAGGAUUAGAUACCCUGGUAGUCCACGCUGUAAACGAUGAGUGCUAGGUGUUAGACCCUUUCCGGGGUUUAGUGCCGCAGCUAACGCAUUAAGCACUCCGCCUGGGGAGUACGACCGCAAGGUUG
rnacentral:rRNA from 1 species